GGGAAACAAUUCCGGUUUAGUUUUUUCAAGAGCAAAGGGAAAUAAUCUGAUCUUUGAGGCAUACAGAAACCAAAUCCAUUCAUUGUUGAUAUCCUGUGAUAAAACCUAUGACAAACUAAAUCUUCAGCUUGCAUAUACCAGAUCUCAGACCAUUUUAAUAUACAUGAUUUAACCUUUCCACACAAUCCCAUCCGUAGACAACACAUACAUGUCUUCCUCCAUCAUCCUCUUAUUUUGCACUCCUACAAAACACCUAAAUCAAUUAAACAAAUCCCCACAAACAGUUAACCAUUAGAAACUACAAUAGCCAUUAGGGGAACAUAAUUCAAAGCAAAAGUACCGUGUAGGCUGGGUAUGAUGACACUAAAAAGCAAACCUAAAAUCAAUUCCAUGUGUUUUUUCAACAAAAAUAGAAGGUGAGAACUCACAAGCCAUUGUUGAACAGGGGAAAGGAAAGUAUUAGUGAUCGUCCACCUUAGGCUUCUGGACAGAAUGUUCUUUCGAACUUUCCACCCCUUUUCAACAUCAUAUAUUCUAAUCUGACUACCCUGUUCAACAAAAAUCAAUACAAAGAUCUUGGAUCAAGAAAGAACACAAGCAUCAUACAUAACAUAACACAUAUAAUCCAGUCAAUCGAGGGAAGUUCUUUUCAUAUAUCACAAGUUCAAAAGCACCUCUUGAUGCGGACCAGAGCAGAGAUCCGGUGCAUGUUCCCAUUGGUCCGGUGACACGAGCUAGAGCCAAGAAGUUCAAGGAAAGCUUAAUGAUCUUGGUUGAGGAGAUCUGGAAAUAAGAGUUGAGAAAGCCGAUCGGAGAUAAUGGAGUUAGCGAGCAGAGUUCAAGUGUGAUGAAUGUUAUUACGUAUAGAGCAGAGCAGAAUGGAAUGCCAGAGCAAAGCAGAGAAGAAUGCCAGAGCAGAGCAAACUUCCAGACUGCCAGAGCAGAGCAAACGGUCCAGAGCAGAGCGGACUUACAGAGCAGAGCGGACGUCCAGAGCAGAGCGGACUUACAGAGCAAAGCGUACUUCCAGAGCAGAGCAAAACAAGCUUCCAGAGCAGAGCAGAAUAAGCUUCCAGAGCAGAGCUAAGUUUCAGAGUUGACUAAAGUCCAGAGCAGACCAUAACCAGAGCUGGCAUCCCAGAGCCAGACUAUGAACCAGAGCUGGCGUUCUCGCCAGAGUUGUCAAAGCUUGCUGAACAAGUUUUCUUUUGUUUCCUUGUUUUUAAGUUUCCUUAUUUUUACGUUUGUUUCCUUCAUUAGAUUAGGAUUUAGUUUUGCCUAUAUAUAUGGCUGCAUGUGAACGAAAAACAUAACUUAUCUUUUAUCAAUCAAAUUUAUGAGUUUAAUCUCUCUUGAGAACUUCGAGUUCUUCUUGAUUUUGCCAAAGGUAAAUUCAAUUUAUCGGCGUAACGGCGAGUUCACCAACCCGUCAUUCAUCGUCCCCGAGUGGCUGCAUCAACUACACGUUGGGGUUUAGGGAUUCGUUCGCCUAGAUCAUUUCGUGGGUUAGAUUCAGAUAUUUUGGGAUUUUCAUCCUUUAUCUUUGUUACUUUGUUUGUUAAUCCAGUUCGUCGUUCAUAUCAAGUCUUCCGCGCGUGUUUGUUUGAUCGGUCCGGCAAAGUUCAUACCAUUAUUGGCGAGGUUCAUAUCAUUUGGUAUCAUCAUCCAGGUUUCGUUUCGAUCUUCGUCAAGGGCGUCAAGGGUAGACGUUGCUAGGGUUUUGUUUUCCAUAUACACCUAAUUCAUACUCCAUAUUUCCGUCAUUCACACUUAUUCCAUCAUUCCAUCAUUCCAUACUCAUGCACACAUAUUCCAUCAGUCCAUACUCCAUAAUUCCAUCCGUUUAUCAUACCCGCUCUUGAGUUCAUCAGAAUUUACGUAUCGUAAAAGUUAAAAAAAAAAAGCAACCAAGAAGAAAAACACCAAGUAUCGAAACUUUUUCGAAAAUUUUUAUUCCUUUCCACAAACUUGUUCCUUUGCUUCUUUGGGCAGUAUAGAGAGUUGGGAAUUUGCUUUCUAUGCAGUACUAUUUGGGUUGUCGAUUUUCCAUUUCCGAUUGCAAAGCCUCUAUUGUGAAGUUCGUGUUUGGAGUCACGGCAGAUGGAUCAUUUCCAUGCGAACCCUGUUCAUCUUGUUGAAUUCCCAUACUGAAUUCUUGUUGAAUUCGUUGAGUUCAUCUUGCAUUGUCGUGAUCCAUUCGGGAUUGUUCAGUGCUUCUUGAAUAUCUAUUGGUUCAGUUUGAGCUAAGAAGCAACUGAAGUAUUCAGUUUCAUUGAUGAUUUCAUAGGCGAGAUUGCAUUUGGAACUUCAAGUCUUCACACGAUCAGUUGGUUUGCCAAUAAUAUCUUCUAAGGAGUGAUCUUCGAACCAUCUUUUGUUUCUUCUUGUCAAGGCUUAGGAUUGUCGGGAACAGUUGUUGAUAAAGAUCUAUCAGUUGUGGGGUGAAGUUCAGUGCGAAUUUCAGCUUCAGUUGGAACAGGGGAACGUUGAACUGCUGGCGUUUUAGGCUCUGCUUGUAUCUUAAGUUCAGCUUCUUUUGGUUCUUCGGUUGGUGGAGUUCUUUCUUGACUGUUGUCUUCAGUCAGAACUGUAGAUGGACCUUCAGUGGUUGGACUGAUCUUCUGAUACUGAAGCUCUUCAGUAUUUUCAUCGUCAGUUGGACUCGACACUAGUACUUCUUUUCUUUCAGCAGUGAUUGUGCUAUCAGCUUUGGAACCUUCACCGAUUUCCUGUUGUCUGUGAUCAUCAAGUGACUCAUCUAAAAAAAUAUGCGGUGUUACUUCCACAGCUAAUUUCCAAGAAUUAAGUACGCGAUAGGCUUUUCUUGAUUCCUCAAUUCCAGAGUAUCCAAGAAAGAUUCCUUGGCCAGCCUUACUAUCGAAAGUACUUAGCUUCUCUUUGUCAUUGUUGUGGAUGUAACACCUCGAACCAAAUGCAUGAAAGUAAGAGAUAGAUGGCUUCCUGUUGUUCCAUAUUUCAUAUGGAGUUUUUACAUAUCUUUGUGUCAGGAAGGAACGAUUUUGAGUGUAGCAAACAGUGUUAAUUACUUCCGUCCAAGCAACCCGGAUUCUGCUAGCAUAGUCUGUGUUGUUUCCUUGAGUGUUCUGUUGCGGCGCUCCACCACUCCGUUCUGUUGAGGAGUCCUUGCUGCAGAGGUUUGAUGACUGAUUUCUUUAUCUUCACAAUAUUCUCUAAUAACUGAAUUAAGGAAUUCAGUCCCUCUGUCAAAUCUUAUGCUAAUAAUGUUCAAUUGUUUUUCAACGCUUAGUUUCUUCAUCAGCUUCAGCAAUUCCUUCAGUGUCUCACUCUUUAUGUACAAGAAAAUGACCCAAGUAUAUCGUGAGUAAUCGUCUACUACUACUAGGCCAUAUCUUCUACCAUUAAAGCUUCUGGGAGACAUUGGACCGAAAAGAUCCAUGUGAAGUAGUUGUAGUAUGCGCUCGGAGGAGUGACCAGUCUUUAACUUGAAAGAGGCUUUUGUCUGUUUUUCUCGUUGGCAUGCUCCACAUUCUUGCCUUUUCUAAAAGACUAUUUGGGGUAGUCCUUCAACCAGUUGGUGUUUGACAAGUUUGUUGAUUGCCUUGAAGUAGAGAUGAUUGAGUCUUCGAUGCCAAAUGGUGUUGAGCUCGGCAUGACUCUUGCUGAUUAGGCAGGUCUCAGGUGGACUAUCUUCCCAAGAAACCACAUAAAGAUUUCCUUGUCUGAACCCUUUCAGCACCACCUUCUUUUUGUUGUUUCUCAUUGUGAAUUCAUCUCUUUUGAUCUUCACAGAGAAUCCGUUGUCGAAAAAUUGGCUCAUAGACAAGAGAUUAUGUUUUAGUCCAGAAACAUAGCUAACAUUAGAUAUACAUGCGUUACCCAUGUUUAAUGCAUCAUAGCCUUUUGUUUCUCCAAGUGAAUUGUCUCCAAAUGCGACUUUAGAUCCAGUCUUUUCCACAUACUGGUUAGAUACUCCUUGUAUUCAGUCAUGUGUUUCGAACAUCCACUAUCCAGGUACCAGGUGUUCUUUGGGGCUUUUGCUUAUUCUUUCUUCUUGUUUUGUUUCCUGGUUUUAUCCUGCAAGAAAGAAAAAUUUUAGGUACCCAAUCAAUGUUUGGGUCCUGGCAUGUUAGUUCUAGUUCCUUUCGAAACCCAAAUCUGCUUCAUAACAGGCCGUGGAGAUGUAGCUUUCUCGUAACUUGGCCUUUUGACUGAAGUUGAUGCUUCUUCAGUCUGCACUGAUGUUAUUCUUCUUGUAUCAGUUACUUGCUUCUUUUGCAUCUCCUUCUUCUUGUUAUCCUGUCUUGGAUAGGUUGGAGGUCUCCUUCUUUCAGUGUUGUCUCUUCUCUGAAANCUAUCUAAUCUUCGCUCUGAAUUGUUCAUAAUUUCAUAUGUAUGUCCAAAUAUCUCUAUAUAAGUAGAUUAUAUGGUGUGUUGUAGAUCACAGAAGACCAUAUAAUUGGAAUAAUCUUAUGAGAUAUAAAAUUUAUUACAGCCGAGACGACUAUAGGAUGAGUUGUUGGUUUAGGUUGCAAUGUAGAUGGAAGUAGUUUGUCUUGGCUACUUGUCUAUACUGGUGCGUGUAAACAUAUUGAUAGGAUCACAGUGAGAUGUAUUCUUCUGUCUGACCUAAGUGAAGAAUCAAGAUCUCGGUGACUUAAUGAGACCUAAAUCCUAAUAAGAUUUCAGGUGUAUAUAUAAAUUUGUGUAUCACUUUGACUUACUAUGGGUGAGAGUUACAUAUUAACUUGAGUACUCUGUAUCUUGGGUGAUAGCAAUUUAUAUAUGACAUUUGGUAAUCUGUAUUAGGUGACCGUAUCCGGUAUAAGAUGAUAACAUCCCCUUAAGGAGCUCAAAAGGUUUAUUGCACUAAACCCUACAUGUUGAUUAAGUUCAGGUGCAAUAAUAAAGUUGAGUGGUACUACUUAAGGAUUAAUAAGAAAUUAAUUAAUAUAAGCUGUCAGAAGCUUUAAUUAAUUAAUGGAUGUUGGAUAUCUUAAAUACGGGGGUUCGAUAAGUCUAAAUACAAGCCCCGACUCAUCAUCGGCAAUAAAGGGGUAAGUCAAUAUUGAUUCUCUAGUGGAAUGAAUUAAUAUUUAUGAAUUAAUUAUGAUCUGGGCUGAUCAUAAGAAUUAAUUCAUUUGAGACCCAUCUUUAUUCCUUGUAUUUGAUCCCUGGGCUGGCCCAAAGACUCCUGACCCCAGUAGGAGAAAAAUAACUUAACUCAUAAGUCUGGUCCAUAUCCUGUGUUUUUAAUUAUAAAUACAGUUCAGCUCUCAGAAAAGAAUAGACCACACGUAAUACGUAAUUUCAGAUUAGAAAAUUAGGUUUUCUGUGAGAGCUGAGCGGAGCUGUUGAGUGGUUUUUCUCCGGGGAAUCCUCAAAGAUCGUCGUCCAUCCGACGUCGGGGAUUGAGUGGGAUACAGUCCAGAAGAUCAGAGCUGGAGUCAGAUUUUCGCAGGAAAUCAAGUUCUGGCAGUCUCCGAAGAAUGGCCAUAACUUCCUCUACAGAACUCCGAUUGAGGUGAAACAGACAGCCACAGAAAGCUCUCUCGAAGACGAAGAAGUUGUAUUUCUGGGAAAAAUACGAUUGGAGAACGUUUGAGGCUUCAAAAGAAGGGUUGAAGUUGGAUGAUUUGUUCAGCGACGAAUUGAUGAAUUCAGUAUUUCUGAACUCUUCGGUGCAGUAUUAGGAGCAUGCUAGGUUCAAUCGAUGUAUGGUGAAUUAAGAUAAUCCAAGAGACGAUCCUCAGGCAAAUCGAGUAUUAAUUAAGUUUAAUAAUCCUACAGAAAACACGUAAAGGUUUCCUUGUCUGACCCCCUUCAGCACCACCUUCUUCUUGUUGUUUCUCACUGUUAAUUCAUCUUUUUUUAUCUUCAUAGAGAAUCUGCUGUCGCAAAAUUGGCUCAUAGACAAGAGGUUAUGUUUAAGUCCAGAAACAUAGCUAACAAUAGAUGUACAUGCGUUACCCAUGUUUAAUACACCGUAAUCUUUAGUUUCUCCAAGUGAGCUGUCUCCAAAUGCGACCUUGGAUCCAGACUUUUCCACAUACUGGGUUAGAUAUUCCUUGUAUCCGGUCAUGUGUUUAGAACAUCCACUGUCCAGGUACCAAGUGUUCUUUGAGGCUUUUGCUUCUUCUUUCUUCUUAUUUUGUUUCCUGGUUUUUCCCUGCAAGAAAGAAGAAUUUUAGGUACCCAAUCAAUGUUUGGGUCUUGGCGUGUUAGUUAUAGUUCAUUUUAGAACCCAAAUCUACUUCAUGACAUGCGGUGGAGAUGCAACUUUCUUGUAACUUGGCCUUUUGACUUGAAGUUGAUGCUUCUUCAGUCUGCACUUAUGUUCUUCUUCUUGGAUCAGUUUCUUUCUUCUUAUGCAUCUCAUUCUUCUUGUUUUCGUGUCUUGGAUAGAUUGGAGGUAUCCUUCUUUCAGUAUUGUAUCUCUGUUGAAAUACUGAAAUUGAUGUAGACUGAUGAUGUCUCGGUUGAUACUGAUGAGUUAUAGACUGAUGUUGUCUAUAGUGAGACUGAUGUGGAGACUGAUGUGGUCCGGACUGAUGUUGCUUCUGAUGAUACUGAACUUGUCCGAACUUCUGAUUUUGUCUCCAAGGUUGUUCCUCACUUGUAAACUGAACAUGAUUCAGUUUCUUGUUGUUCUGAUUUCCCCUUGGUUGGUGACGUGGGUUAUGGUUCUUCGGUUGUUUAAACUGGUGAUGGUUCAGUCUAGAGGGGCCUUCAUCCUUUCUGUACUGAAGUGGAUUCUUCAGUUUCUUCUGAUGGGUUUGAUUAUUGGUCACCACCUUCUGUUCUUUCCAGUAUCUUCCCUUAGGUCGUCCGUAGUCCUCAGGAGGAGGAAUAUUCUUAUGUCUCAUCAUCUUUCUCUUCUUGUCUUCUUCUUCUGCAGAGCUUUUGGAUUUGACUGAUGCUUCAUCAUCUGAUUGCCACACCUCAAUUCUUAAACGAAUAAAUACAAUCGAGGUACAACCAUUUAGUCAAUUUUCCUCCAACACUUUCCACUAGUGUUGAUGAUGGAAAAUGCUUCAUCAGUGGGGAGUUCUUCAUGCAAUUCUUUACCCACUGUUCCAUCUUGUCAUUCAGUCGAACUGCUUCAAAUGUGGCUUCAUCAAGUUCCUUUGCAGUUCGCUUUAGAUCAGUUUCAGUCUCUUCCAAUUGAGACUGAAGUUUGCUCUUCUCCGACUGUAGACUUUCAAUCUCCUUUCUUAGUCCAUUGUUCUCUACAAUCAGUUCAUCAAGACCAGUUUCAUCCAGUAAGUAGACACUGAUCUUCUCCUUUUCAGUCCGAGCUUGACUGAUCUCUUUCUCCAAUCUUUGAUUUUCUUCCAGGAGAUUCUCAAAUAGAGUCCUUAAGCUUUGGUAGUCACACAUCACUUGUUCAUAUUCGUCCGCGUUCAGUGAUAUGUCUCCAGAGACUGAAUUUUCUCCUGUCAUCAUUAAGGAGAUAUCAGUAUUAAAAGUUUUAGAGUGAGAGUUUACCUCAGGCCAUCGAGUCCAUUGUCGUAGCUGUUGAAGUUGUUGUCAGCUACACUUUCUACAUCUUUUGCCAUUAGGGCCUAGCUCUCAUCAUAUGAACUUGUUGAGUUGCUUGAAGAUGAUUCAGUUGAGGAGUUGGAAUCCUCUGCAUCUUCGGCUACCAUGGCCUUCUUCUUCUCGUAUUUUCUGUCUCUUUUGGCUCGAAGGGCUUUUCGUUCUAAGUAUGAGAUCUCAGGACAAUCAGUCUUGUAGUGUCCCUUCUUGUCGCAGCCAAAGCACUCCACAUCCUUCAAGUCUGGAGUAGAUGGCUUCUUCUCUUCGAAUUUAUCGUUGGACUUGGAGUAUCUCAGCUUGUACUCCUUCGCCUUGCCUUUGAAGUUCUUCUUGUGGAACUUCUUAUACUUUCUGAACCUCGACUCCAUCUUGUUAAACCUUUCAGUCAUUAGUGCAUAUUGACUGAAAAAGUCUUCAGUUUUGAUAUUAGUCAACUCCUUCGACUGCUUCUUGGAAUCUUUUGAUGCAUCCUUUAGUACUGCUCCUUAAUUUGGAGGCUGAGGGAGCAUCCUCAUAUGAGGUUCCAGCUUUCUUGUUGACUUUGUUUCGUCGAAUAUCAAAUUUGUUGGCUUUAAGGUAAGAGAACAACUGCUCGGUGCUCAGUAUGCUGAAAUUUGGCUUAGUUUGCUGAGCAAUGGCAUACAUCCGCCAUUCUGCAGAAGUUAGGCUUCGUAUGAUCUUUAGGUUGAUCUCUCGCUGAGUGUACUUGUCCUUGGAGAUGGAUUGAACUUCAUUCAUUAUUAGGUUGAAUCUGAAUUUUAUCUCUUCAAUUGAUUCAUUCUUCAGCAUUAGAAAGUUGUCAAACUUUUGACAUGCAAUAGACAGCUUGUUUUCUUUAAUCUUCUCGGAUCCAGCACACAUCCUUUCAAGGGUGUUCCACAUCUCUGGCGGUUAUGCACUUUAUGAUUUUCAUCACGUGUUUGUCUGGAAUGGUACCCGAGAUGAUGUUCUUCGCGAGGCUGUCCAGUUCGUUUUGCUUUUUUCUUCUGAAGUGUACUCGUGUCUUUUCUUUAUCCUGGAUUCAUAGUAGGAUCUUCCUACUUCUGUGGGGUCUCUAUGUUCUCUUUGAUGAUGAUUGGACCUUCUGUGAUCACGUCCCACAUCCUGCANUCUCCUACUUUAUCGCUUUUAUUAUCUUCUCUCUCCUACUUUAUCACUUUUAUAUUUUAUUAACUACACACUUAAAACACUAAUCUACAACUCCUUAAUUCUCGUGCCGAAUUCAAACGUGUCAAGAUUCGUGGGACGGGGGGAGGUAAUAAAUAAUUGAAAACUAAAUUAUUGAGUCAAGGACACCAACAAUAUCCUUACUCGAUUUUCUUUAAUAAUUGGAUUUAUAAAAACCAAUUUAAAAUCAUAACUCUUCUUAUUGCAUAAUGCAAAUGCAAUUUCAUGACAUGCUUAAACAUAUAAUAAGUAAUCGCUUGAAAUAUGCACACAAUAUUAGUGAUAUUAUUAUACAAAUUAUCUCUAAAAUAAUUAAUCAAACUAAUGAUAGUUAAAUUAAUUAAAAUAUGGGCUGCUCAAAAAUUAAAUCAAGGCCCCUUUCUCUUAAAAAUUUCGCAGGCCCAAAAUUGAAUAAAUCAGCCCAAGUUAGUAAAUUAAUAACAUGGCCCUUCACCUUUAAUAAAAUCAGCCCAAGCAUUUUAAAAUAUGGAGGCCCAACUGAAUUAAAAUUGGCCCAAAUGACUCAAGCCCAACUCCAACCCUUAUUUCUCUUUUCUCCCUCAAUCAAACGCUCCCGCCCACCCUCGGUUCUGUCUCUCUCCCUCUCUCAAUUCACGCCGCCCACUGUCCCUCUCUCAGAAUCCGCCGCCGCCGUGGAGCUUGCCGGAGGAGCAGCGGCGACAAGAACGCUCGGCUCUCUCUUCUCUCUCGCGAAACCCGCCCCCUCACUUUCCCUCUGUCUCUCAGCGGCAGCAACCGCCGCCACGGUCACCGCCUCAUCUCCCUUACCCCUCUGCUCUCGCCUCCUCUCUGACCUAGAACGGCGACGGUGAGGGCCUCCGCCGUCUGAGCCCUAGCCCCAAUCACGGCUCCUCUCAAUUUCUGGCAACGACGUCGCCGCUACGCACCUCUGCCUCCAUCUGUUCUCCCUCAUUUCAAAGCCUCGCCGGAAAGACUACAGCAGUAGCCGUGCCACCGCAGUCGACGCCCAGUCUCCCUCCAUCUCUUCCCUCCGAACUCCGGUGAUAAACAAAGCGCUAAGGCCGUUGCCCACCUUCCCUGACUCGACUCAGCAGCAACAACACCCACCCGGCUCAAGCAUCACAAAAUAGAGUUCAAAAGCUAAAAUUAAAGUCAAGACUUAACUCCUUUUAUUUAGAUCGUUUCUUCAUUUGUAAAGAACAUUUUCAAUGCCUUGUCUAACUGUAUAAAUAUAUGUACAUAUCUUGAUGGGAUGAUGAUACAAUGAAUGUGUUUUUGUGUUUUUGUGCUUUUGAUUCAGUGGAACGUCAAGAAGAAGGUUGGCAAUUUCUAAAAUGAAUUUAGAGGUGUAACCUUAGAAGAAAAUUCUGCUGUGUUGUUGAUAUGUGAGGGCUGGAAUUAGUUUGCUGCUGAAGUUCUUGAGCUGGAGAGCUCUUCAUUUCGAGAGCAGAGUGUAUGUGGAGUGAUUUGUAAAAAGUGAAAUGAAAGUCUUAGUUAGUGUAACUUGGCUUUGCAGAGAAGGUUUUCAUCAAAAAACUAUAGGAUUGAUGGCUAGUGUAGGAAUAGACUUUGUAGGAUAAUACGGGCUUUGAUGGUAAGACUUGAAUUAACAGCGACCAUUCUCCUAGAGGUCGACCAGCC
rnacentral:lncRNA from 1 species